CCGGGAUAGCUCAGUGGUA
rnacentral:tRNA from 1 species